AGGGCUGAACUGGAGCUUGAUGUCCCCCGCUCCUGGGUCCUCCAAGUCCCUCCCCGCCAACCUGAGCGUGCUAACUGGCUAGGCUCUGGGGACUGGACACCAGCAGAAGUGGGGCCACCUCAGGGCAACUGGAGCAGCGGCCACUGGCACUGGCAUGGCCCUCCCUGGGUGCUCGGUGUCGGCGUUUCUUUAUCACUCCUGGGCCGAACCCUCAUUCUGAGGCGUUCAGGGCCCUUCAUGGAGGAGGGUGUUGGGCAGCACACCUUGCUGCUGUCACUGAGUCCGCGAGGACCCUCAGAGACUCUGCGGCAGAUGCCCCUGCAGCCUCCCCUCCUGGAGUCUCUGGACCACCCAUGAGGCUGGGAGUGGGACACAGGCUUCUGGUGCAAGGAGCUGCCUCUUGGCUUCGUGCUAUUUCCACAGUGUCCACUUCGCGCUUUGCACGUAGCCCUUGCCGCCCUGCCCUGAGACUUGUUCUUUAAAUGGACGAUUCUUUCUCUUCCUCUCUCCCUGCUCCCCCCCAAUCUCCCCCUCUCCCUAAUCUCAGGGGAAACGGGAUCACCUGUCUUCCCCAUCCUAGGCAGAGGUCCCUGUCCCUGAGCACUCACCCACCACAGCAACAGAGUCAUCCAGACUUUGCAGAAUUCUCUCCUAGUUAACCAGUGAGUGUCAACUCCAGCAGAGGACACCUGGAAUUCUGCCUUUGAGUCACCUCUGAGAAAGCCCCCCGUCCCUGCUGAGGGGCAGAAUCCCAGCCCCAGGCACAGGAGUCCCCUGUGUUUCUCUUUUGCUAGUAAAGUAAUAAGCCUUCUUCUUCCCUUUUCUCAAAGCCGUGUCCUCCUUAAUGGAUUGACACUGGGGACAAGGACCAAGCUUUCGGCACUGUGGUUUAGAUGUGAGGUGUCCUCCAAAAGGUCAUGUGUGAGACAGUGUUCGGAGGUGAGCUGAUGGGUCGUGCGAGCCUGGGUGGCCGAACCCCGCCGGGGAUUAACUGGGCGGUAAAGCAGGCAGGUGGGGUGUGGCUGGAGGAAGUGGGUCACCAGGGGCAUGACUCUGCGGUUGGUUGGUGCUUUGUCCCUGGCUCCCAGCUCUGUCUCUCUGCGUCCUGACUGCCAAGAGCCACAGGCCUUUCCAUCCUGAAGUCCUGCCACACCUCCGGCCCCAGCUGUGCAGUCGGCCACCCGUGAACUAAGCCUCCGAAACCGUUAUUUCAUUACAGUGAUGAAAAGCUGGCUGAUACAACCGCCUUGGUAACUAAUGUCCCAGAGGAAAAAUAGCACCAGAUAACAGAAGCCUGUCAGGUGUAAGUGCUCACCAUUUUAUGUCGAUUAUUGGUUUUGUGACAAUUGAUCCAAACGAGAGGUCCAAAUCCUCCAAACGAGAAAUGAUUUGGAUCAAACGUGGUGAGUGCUGAGGCCCAUGUGCCAUUCCACUGAGCAGGGCUGGCCUGUCUCUGGAGCCCAUGACCUCACCAUCUUGUUACGUGGACAUUUUAAUUGGUAAAGAACUUGUCCCACUCUUAACAACAGGCGCCCUAAUCAGCCCAUGUGUUUGACGACCUGCUGCUGCAGAGCUCUCAGGACCUGCCUGGGCAAACCCCGGCUCAGCUGGAAUCUGCUGGACUUGGUCACCCUGCAGGGGACUUGAAUCGUGCCCGAUCAGAUCCUGGAAGACUAGUCACCGUCCCCUGCUAACUGUGCACCCACAGCCCCUGGGACUGAGAGUCACCGGCUGCUUCCAAACCGGUCUCUCCUUCCAGCUCCACCAGCAGCUCAGUCUUGUUACGAAACCAUAGAGCCACAAACGAGGUCCUUGUCCCCUCCAGGGACAUCCACUGUGGAGGACACCCCAGGCCACAUCCCAGACAACCCUGGCCAGCAACCUGGCCCGGGGAGAGUGAGGCCACCAGCCCAGCGGCCCCCCUGAGGCGCCCUCUCCUAGAGGAGCCGAGGAGUGGCACGCAGCAGGAGUGGCUUCUCUUCCGUGGCGACUGGGUAUGUGGUGACGGUUCUGAGUUUGCCGUUGGCUCAGUUCACGAGCCUCUUGAAUUCUUGAAUCUGCCAGAAUAUGUGCCCUUGGGAUUCCAGGCCUGAGGGAACCCUGUGGAUGUCACCACUGUCUAUGUACAGGGCCAGGACCUCCACUGCCACCUGUUUCCCUCGGUUACUAAUAAAGCACUAGACCAUC